UGACCUACGGGACGCAGCAGUGGGGAAUAUUGCACAAUGGGGGAAACCCUGAUGCAGCAACGCCGCGUGAGUGAAGGAGUAUUUCGGUAUGUAAAGCUCUAUCAGCAGGGAGGAGAAUGACGGUACCUGACUAAGAAGCCCCGGCUAACUACGUGCCAGCAGCCGCGGUAAUACGUAGGGGGCAAGCGUUAUCCGGAUUUACUGGGUGUGAAGGGAGCGUAGACGGCGCGGCAAGUCUGAAGUGAAAGGCAGGGGCUUAACCCCUGAACUGCUUUGGAAACUGCCAUGCUAGAGUGCUGGAGAGG
rnacentral:rRNA from 1 species